rnacentral:lncRNA from 1 species
GGAAGGGGGUGGAAGGGUGGAGCACAAGAUGGUGCACGUGGAAGCAUCAAAGCAGUGGUCCCUCUUUCCCCUUCCCAUGCGUUGAGGCCAUCAAGAUUGUCCUUUGGAUAAAAAUGCUCAAAGGUCGUCCUCAUGACAUGUUGAUUUGGUGGACAAGGUGCCUAGAAUUACCGAAGGAGCUUAAAAGUGUGGAAGCUUUUCAUUUUGAGGAUUUAAAAUAGAUUUUUUUAGUAACUAUUCCAUGAUCCUAGCUAUCAAUU